rnacentral:lncRNA from 1 species
UAUAUAGCAGUUCAACAUUAUUGCCCAGGCGGUCUUCACUUUAAUCAUAAAGUACAAUGGCCAAAUUCUCCAUGUGACUCUCCUUCAAUAGUGCAAUGUCAUAGAGAACCUUGGAUAUACAAUCCGAAUCCUACAACUGCCACAACUCCACAAAGUACAUUCGUAACAACUCGGUUACCUACAGUCGUAACAGCCGGAGCGCAACGACCUACAGUUGUAACAACCCGCCCACCUACGAUUAGAACACCACGACCUACCGUUCGAACAACCUGGAGACAACCAACUACUGCUGCACCACGAUAUAGUACUACAGUAACACCAAGGACGCCAUUUACCACAGCGGCUCCUAUUUUAACUACUCCGUAUCCUGGAAGGUUCUCCGUUGAAUUCACAUGUCCACAACAAU